UGGGGAGCUUCCCGGAAACGAAAGUCUUCCGGUUCCGGGGGAAGUAUGGUUGCAAAGCUGAAACUUAAAGGAAUUGACGGAAGGGCACCACCAGGAGUGGAGCCUGCGGCUUAAUUUGACUCAACACGGGGAAACUCACCCGGCCCGGACACCGUGAGGAUUGACAGAUUGAUAGCUUUUUCAUGAUUCGGUGGAUGGUGGUGCAUGGCCGUUCUUAGUUCGUGGAGCGAUUUGUCUGGUUUAUUCCGAUAACGAGCGAGACUCUGGCCUACUAACUAGUCUGGGCAUUGUCACUGUGCCUAGCACUUCUUAGAGGGAUUUUCGGUGUUCAGCCGCACGAAAUUGAGCAAUAACAGGUCUGUGAUGCCCUUAGAUGUCCGGGGCUGCACGCGCGCUACACUGGCAAAAUCAACGUGCCUGUCCUUUGCCGAAAGGCAUUGGUAAACCCGUGAAAAUUUGCCGUGAUUGGGAUCGGAAAUUGCAAUUAUUUUCCGUGAACGAGGAAUUCCAAGUAAGUGCGAGUCAUCAACUCGCGUUG
rnacentral:rRNA from 1 species